CCCGAACUUGGUAGCGGGCUGUGGUCUUGGGCUCCUGGCCCGGGUUAACUCGGACGACGUAGAUGCUCCGCUCCUUUUUCCCGUCUGCUUCCUCCGUGUUCUGGCCUGGGCGAGGACCAUGUCUUGUAUUUACUCGGUGCCCGGCCCCGCCUUGACCUCCUCGGGCGGGAAGUCCACUUCCGCUGCUCCUGGGCGGCUCCCGGCCACUCGCCGGGCAUCUUUUGCCGACCCGGAGCCUCGCAGCACCUCCUAUCUUUGAACCCUAGAGCAGGUCUCUGCCAGCUUAUUGCAGGUCCAUGAGGGUGGAUGACCGUGUCCGAGGGCAGCCAGAGUACAGCGGAUAACAGGGCGUGGUGGCGCACCUCUGCCAUCUCACCCCUCGAAGGGCAGAGGCAGGACAAUUGCUGCAAGUUAGAGGCCGGUUUGAGUUACGUGGCGAGUCUCACGCCAGCCAAGGCUAUUUUGAAGGAGCCUGUCUUCAAAACAAAACAACAAAACAAAAUAAGUAAAUUAUAACCUCGAGCUAGCGAGAGAAUUGGGUGAGGGAACGCUGGUUACUUCUAACAUUCAACAACUGAUGUGGACAACGGGGCUUGCCGUUGUAUUAAGAGCUGAGGUUGAGGAUAAAACAUGCUCGGGACAAUGGAAAAGGAAAAAAUAACUUGAGUAUUUACUUAAGGAGAAGAGCUUUGUGCUGAGUGAGUGAUUUCCAGAAACUGAUAGCGUUUAUAAGGCAAGUCAGUUGUGGAACUGGUCUGUUUCUCAAAAGUAACCUUGGAAACUAACCCCCUAAUAACUUAAAGUUUAUUUCUAGAUGCCAGUCAUGUGAAGAUCCUGGGUACUGUGAAAAGGUGCUUUCCUAAGUGGGUUUGGGAUCUUCUCUCAGAAAGGUUUUGGCCAGAGGGGAAAACCUGAAAAGUAUCUAUCUUCCUCUUGGCUUCUUGUGAAAAUAAGACAUUUUUAAAAAUAACAAACCAGAAAGAUGCACAGUGAAAAUAUUUCCUUCCCCGGUCUUAUGUUCAGAGGCACAGUUAAUUUAAUAAAUUCCCAGGUAAGGAUUGUGGAUGUGUUA
rnacentral:lncRNA from 1 species